CUAGCCUUUUAUUUUUGCUCUUUACAGCGUACUUCACUAAUUGGACCCCUGCGGUUAGUUAUCCCUAAUUAAAGAAUCAUUGUUUAUUGCAAUCGCCAACCGAGCAUCAGCCCUGUUUUGUCUGGGAUUAUUAUCAUCCGGAGUUUUUGUUCCAGAUUUCGGACUAGUUUGACGGAGGAUAUCAAUUUUUAGUAACUGUGAAAUGCUGGUUUGACAUUGGCAGUAUGUACUAUCUAUGCUGCGAUGAUGUCGGCUAUCGAUGAUGCAUUCUGCGCCCCCAAUUCUUAGGUGCAAGCAGUU
rnacentral:sRNA from 2 species